GUGCCAGCGCCGCGGUAACACCAGCGGCUCAAGUGGUAGUCGAUUUUAUUGGGUCUAAAGCGUCCGUAGCCGGAUCGUCAAGUCCCUUGUGAAAUCGGGCGGCUUAACCGCUCGGCUUGCAAGAGAAACUGACGUUCUUGGGGUCGGCAGGCGCCGAGGGUACUCCGGAGGUAGCGGUGAAAUGCUAUAAUCCCUGGGGGACCGCCGGUGGCGAAAGCGCUCGGCGGGGCCGAACCCGACGGUGAGGGACGAAGGCCAGGGGAGCGAACCGGAUUAGAUACCCGGGUAGUCCUGGCUGUAAAGUAUGUGGGCCAGGUGCCAGACGUUCCUCGAGAGCGCUUGGUGCCGAAGGGAAGCCGUUAAGCCCACCACCUGGGGAGUACGGUCGCAAGACUGAAACUUAAAGAAAUUGGCGGGGGAGCACCACA
rnacentral:rRNA from 1 species